rnacentral:rRNA from 1 species
AUUGAACGCUGGCGGCAGGCCUAACACAUGCAAGUCGAACGGUAACAGGAAGCAGCUUGCUGCUUCGCUGACGAGUGGCGGACGGGUGAGUAAUGUCUGGGAAGCUGCCUGAUGGAGGGGGAUAACUACUGGAAACGGUAGCUAAUACCGCAUAAUGUCGCAAGACCAAAGAGGGGGACCUUCGGGCCUCUUGCCAUCGGAUGUGCCCAGAUGGGAUUAGCUUGUUGGUGGGGUAACGGCUCACCAAGGCGACGAUCCCUAGCUGGUCUGAGAGGAUGACCAGCCACACUGGGACUGAGACACGGUCCAGACUCCUACGGGAGGCAGCAGUGGGGAAUAUUGCACAAUGGGCGCAAGCCUGAUGCAGCCAUGCCGCGUGUAUGAAGAAGGCCUUCGGGUUGUAAAGUACUUUCAGCGGGGAGGAAGGGAGUAAAGUUAAUACCUUUGCUCAUGGACGUUACCCGCAGAAGAAGCACCGGCUAACUCCGU